GCUGGGCACGGUGGCGCAUACCUGUAAUCCCAGCAGAUUGGGAGGCUGAGACAGGAGGAUCACAAGUUCAAAGCCAGCCUCAGCAGCUGCAAGGCACUAAACAACUCAGUGAGACCUUGUCUCUA
rnacentral:sRNA from 1 species